rnacentral:rRNA from 1 species
UACGAAGGGGGCUAGCGUUGUUCGGAAUCACUGGGCGUAAAGGGCGCGUAGGCGGCCACCGCAAGUCGACUGUGAAAUCUCCGGGCUUAACCCGGAAAGGUCAGCCGAUACUGCGGGGCUAGAGUGCAGAAGGGGCAACUGGAAUUCUCGGUGUAGCGGUGAAAUGCGUAGAUAUCGAGAGGAACACCUGCGGCGAAGGCGGGUUGCUGGGCUGACACUGACGCUGAGGAGCGAAAGCGUGGGGAGCGAACAGG